rnacentral:piRNA from 1 species
UUGAGAUCGGAAAUAUGUGAU